rnacentral:tRNA from 1 species
CGCGGGUUGGUGUAGUGGCAGCAUUGCGGUCUCGUCUUCCGCCGACGUCGGUUCGAAUCCGGCACCCGCACCCA